UCAGUCUCAAAAAAAAAAAAAAAAGGUUGCUUGAUACAGAGAAUAUUAGCAUGGCCCCUGCCCAAGAUUGACAUGCAAAUUUGUAAAGCAUUCUAUAUUAAA
rfam:Nomascus leucogenys chromosome 14, whole genome shotgun sequence.